UACGCAGGGUGCAAGCGUUAAUCGGAAUUACUGGGCGUAAAGCGUGCGCAGGCGGCUUUGCAAGACAGAUGUGAAAUCCCCGGGCUUAACCUGGGAACUGCAUUUGUGACUGCAUGGCUGGAGUGCGGCAGAGGGGGAUGGAAUUCCGCGUGUAGCAGUGAAAUGCGUAGAUAUGCGGAGGAACACCGAUGGCGAAGGCAGUCCCCUGGGCCGAUACUGACGCUGAGGAGCGAAAGCGUGGGGAGCGAACAGG
rnacentral:rRNA from 1 species